AAGGGUUGCGUAGGCGGUUUAUUAAGUCAGUGGUGAAAGACGGUCGCUCAACGAUUGCAGUGCCAUUGAUACUGGUAGACUUGAGUGAGAUUGAGGUAGCUGGAAUGGAUAGUGUAGCGGUGAAAUGCAUAGAUAUUAUCCAGAACACCAAUUGCGUAGGCAAGUUACUAAGUCUCAACUGACGCUGAGGCACGAAAGUGUGGGUAUCAAACAGGAUUAGAUACCCGUGU
rnacentral:rRNA from 1 species